CGGUGAUUCGCAGCAUGUCAUAUUAUUGAAUGAGAACCGGAAAGCAGUUCUGCUGUUACAUAAAUUCGAAAGCUAUAAAUAGCCAUAAAUGUUACUUCGGUUAUAAAUUUGUUAUUUCCCUUUUUUAGUAGUACAUGAAAUUAUAAUUUGUUACAUUUUGAAUUACAUUUACACACAGCAUAUCAAGAAUACUAUAAGUGAUUGAAUUUGUCAAUAUAAAGAAGAUUUCAG